UACGUAGGGUGCAAGCGUUAAUCGGAAUUACUGGGCGUAAAGCGUGUGUAGGCGGCUUUGUAAGUCGGAUGUGAAAGCCCCGGGCUCAACCUGGGAAGUGCGCUCGAAACUGCAAAGCUUGAGUAUCGGAGAGGUUGGUAGAAUUCUCGGUGGAGAGGUGAAAUUCGUAGGUAUCGAGGGGAAUACCAGUGGCGAAGGCGGCCAACUGGACGAAUACUGACGCUGAGACACGAAAGCGUGGGGAGCAAACAGG
rnacentral:rRNA from 1 species